rnacentral:SRP_RNA from 1 species
CGCCGUGUCUGAUCUGCAGCCGAUCGCUGGUCCUGUGCGAUGUGGCCCGUGAACCCCGUCAGGUCCGGAAGGAAGCAGCGGUAAGCGGUCAACCGCAUGUGUUACAGCAAAGCCUGCGACGGCUGCAGGUCAGACAUGGCG